UGGGGAAUUGUUCGCAAUGGGCGCAAGCCUGACGACGCAACGCCGCGUGGAGGAUGAAGGUCUUCGGAUUGUAAACUCCUGUUGCUCGGGACGAAAUGCUCUGACCUAACACGUCAGAGUUUGACGGUACCGAGUGAGGAAGCCCCGGCUAACUCUGUGCCAGCAGCCGCGGUAAGACAGAGGGUGCAAACGUUGCUCGGAAUUACUGGGCGUAAAGCGCGUGUAGGCGGGCCGACAAGUCAGAUGUGAAAUCCCUGAGCUCAACUCAGGAACUGCAUUUGAAACUGUCGGCCUUGAGUGGUGGAGAGGGAAGCGGAAUUCCUGGUGUAGAGGUGAAAUUCGUAGAUAUCAGGAGGAACACCGGUGGCGAAGGCGACUUCCUGGACACCAACUGACGCUGAGACGCGAAAGCGUGGGGAGCAAA
rnacentral:rRNA from 1 species